AUAAAGUUUGAUUUUAGCUUAAAAUUUAUUUAAUUUUAAAAUUACAUGAUAAUUAUAGUAAGAAUAAAUAUUUAUUUAAAAAAUAAAAUAAUUUAAUCUCAGUAUAUAAAAUUAAUUAUAAAAGAAAUUUUGAAUUAGUUAAAAAUUUUAUUAUAGGAUAAAUUUGUGCCAGCAUCUGCGGUUAUACAAAUUAUAUAAAUAAAUUUUAUUAGUAAAUAAUUAAAUUUUAUUGUUAUUAAUAUUUUUUUUUAUUUUAAAAGUAAAAUUUUUAAUUUAAAAUAAUUUAUUAAAAAAAUUUAAUUGAAGUUAUAAAAAUUUUAUUAUAAACUAGGAUUAGAUACCCUAUUAUUUAAAUAAUAAAUUUAUAUUACUAAGGUAAUAAUAGUUAUAAUCUUUAAACUUAAAAAAUUUGGCGGUAUUUUAGUCUAUUUAGAGGAACCUGUUUUUUAAUCGAUAAUCCACGAUAAAUUUAACUAAUUUUAUUAAAAAUUUGUAUAUCGUCGUUAUCAGAAUAUUUUAUAAGAAAAUUAAUAUUCAAAAAUUUGUAUUAAAAUUAAUUUCAGAUCAAGGUGCAGUUUAUAAAUUAGUAAAAAUGGGUUACAAUAAAAUUAUUUAUAUGGAAAUAUAUUUGAAAAAAUAAAUUGAAAGUGGAUUUAAUAGUAAAUUUAUUUAAAUUAAUAAAUUGAUUAUAGCUCUAAAAUAUGUACAUAUCGCCCGUCGCUCUUUUUUUUAAAAAAAGAUAAGUCGUAACAUAGUAGAUGUACUGGAAAGUGUAUCUAGAAAGAU
rnacentral:ncRNA from 1 species